CCUACGGGAGGCAGCAGUGAGGAAUAUUGGUCAAUGGCCGGAAGGCUGAACCAGCCAUGCCGCGUGAAGGUCAGUGCCCUAUGGGCGUUAAACUUCUUUUGUGCGGGAGCAAUAAUGGUCACGUGUGGCCAGACGAGAGUACCGUACGAAUAAGCAUCGGCUAACUCCGUGCCAGCAGCCGCGGUAAUACGGGGGAUGCAAGCGUUAUCCGGAUUUAUUGGGUUUAAAGGGUGCGUAGGCUGGGAGGUAAGUCAGCGGUGAAAUGCCCCCGCUCAACGGGGUGAAGUGCCAUUGAUACUGCCUGGCUGGAAUGCGGAUGCGGUGGGAGGAAUGUGUGGUGUAGCGGUGAAAUGCAUAGAUAUCACACAGAACACCGAUUGCGAAGGCAUCUCACGAAUCCGCGAUUGACGCGGAUGCACGAAAGCGUGGGUAUCAAACAGGAUUAGAUACCCCAGUAGUC
rnacentral:rRNA from 1 species